CCUCUGUUUCCCCUGUCCUAUGUUGGAUCAUUGUUCAUUGCUCCUGUGUUCUCUGUUUUUCCUUUUUGAUUUAGUUCUUCAUCAUUAUGAGUGACUUGGCCAAUACAGUCGUGUUCCUCCGAUACAGACAUCAGCGGUGACAGCACACAGCUGCUGCAAAGUCUAUUGCACAAGGAUCUUUUUAAGCAGUGGUCGGCAGAGCUGUGGGAGAGACACACUGCUUCACUGGAGCACUUGUCACACACGAACACCCGCAGGUGCAGAGAUGUCACUGUACAUGCUGACAGUGGGAACAAUGGGUGAAGGUAGCUGAGCGAGGUGCUCAGUCGCUCAUAAAUAAGGAGCACAGACUCAGCCAGACACAACAUCUGACACCAGGUGCUCUGUGCGUGCAUGUGUGUGUGUGCUUGUGUACUUGUGUGUGUGUGGGUUAUUCUUUGUGACCACUUAGGUGUGUUAAUGUGUGAGCAUGUGCAGUGGUGAAGCUGGGACUUUGUGUCCAAUUUUCCUCACGAUGUAUCUCCUUCUUUUUUAUGAUCUGAUAAUCUUAAUAAAAUGUUAAAUUUGG